UAUGUGAUCGUCUCUCGCAUAUCAAUAAGCGGAGGAAAAGAAACUAACAAGGAUUCCCCUAGUAACGGCGAGUGAAGCGGGAAGAGCUCAAAUUUGAAAUCCUAAAGGGUUUCCCUUUACGAAUUGUAGUUUAAAGAAGUGUUUUCUGUUGAGGUUUUGGUAAAAGUUCUUUGGAAUAGGACAUCAUAGAGGGUGAGAAUCCCGUAUUUGACCUUUACUUUCAACUUUGUGAUACACUUUCAAAGAGUCGGAUUGUUUGGGAAUGCAGUCCAAAAUGGGUGGUAAAUUUCAUCUAAAGCUAAAUAUUGGCGAGAGACCGAUAGCGAACAAGUACCGUGAGGGAAAGAUGAAAAGAACUUUGAAAAGAGAGUUAAACAGUACGUGAAAUUGUCAAAAGGGAAGCGUUUGACACCAGUGUUGUUUUUCUGAAAAUCAAUUAAAGAACUGUUUAUGCUAAGCUGUUUAGACUUUAUCAGCUAAUCUGCUUAGUUUUGAGCUUUUCUUUAAUGCACUUUUCAGUUAACAAGUCAACAUCAAUUUCUUUUGCUGUAAAAAAGCUUGAGGAAGGUGGCUUGAGAUUCGUCUUAAGUGUUUAUAGCCUCUUGCCUAUGCAGUCGGAGAGAUUGAGGUCUGCAGCGUAGAUCCUUCGGGGCUAAAUGCAUUUGUGCUAAGUUAUAGCAUUUUAUAGACAACUUGUUGACUAUGAUUUGUCUUGUAGCUUACUCGCUUAUGUUAUUUUACCUACGCUUAGGAUGUUGAUAUGCAUGACUGAUAU
rnacentral:rRNA from 1 species